GUGUUGAGCGCACUACCAACCUUUGCCCUGACUGUUCUGAAGGUGCCAAAGAAGAUUUUGGCCGAAGUGGACAAGAUCAGACGACGUUUCCUAUGGGCUCAAGAUGAAGAGAUCAGUGGCGGUAAGUGCAAAGUAAGCUGGUUGGUGGUGUGCACUCCGAUCGACAACGGUGGCCUUGACAUCUCAAACCUGCAUCGAUUCAGCCAUGCACUCAGGCUUAGGUGGCUCUGGUUCUCUUGGAUCACACCCAACAGACCCUGGGUUGGCAUGCGGCUACCAUGCGACCAAGGAGACAAAGACCUU
rnacentral:rRNA from 1 species